GCUUUAGCAUAGAGCAGAGUCUGCUCCUUAAUGCAUCCCUGGAUCAUAGCGGACUCUGCCUAUAGAGGCCUGGGGUCCCUUUGGCAGCACUUUUGUCAAGAAAGUAGAGUCGUGGACAACCAACUGCACAGGUUGGGAGGAAAACUUACAGCCUCCAUCACUCUUCAGGAGAGUGGCAGUCAAGGAGUAAGACUCAAGCAAAGGAAUAAUCUGAGUUUAAAGAAAGGAGGAGUCAGUGCUGGGAUUUCUUGGUUCUAGUGGAAAGUAGUUUUUAAAAAUUUAAUUGACAAAAGUUAUAUAUAUUCAGGUACAUGAUGUGAUGAUUUGAUAUACAUGUACAUGUAUAAUGAUAGCCACAACCAUUAAUUAAUGUAACCAUCACCACCUAUAGUUACCCUUUUCUAUGCAUGUGUGUGUGUAUACGUGCAUGCAGUGAGGACACUUAAAAUCUACUCU
rnacentral:lncRNA from 1 species